AGUUCUCAACCACAUUGAAUAUUUUUUGGUGUGGCUUGGUUAUUGGAAGCUUUGCAGGUCCAUAUUCUAUAUGGAUCUGCUCUUCUAAAAUGCAUUAGUGGUAUCUGAGCAGUAGCUACUACAGAUGUGAUAAUAUUUUUCUACAUCUUUGGUCACGCUGCAUAAACAGAUUAUACUGCUUCUAAAAGUGAAUGUAUUGUGAUUU
rnacentral:misc_RNA from 1 species